rnacentral:rRNA from 1 species
UACGUAGGGUGCAAGCGUUGUCCGGAAUUAUUGGGCGUAAAGAGCUCGUAGGCGGUUUGUCGCGUCUGCUGUGAAAACCCGAGGCUCAACCUCGGGCCUGCAGUGGGUACGGGCAGACUAGAGUGCGGUAGGGGGAGAUUGGAAUUCCUGGUGUAGCGGUGGAAUGCGCAGAUAUCAGGAGGAACACCGAUGGCGAAGGCAGAUCUCUGGGCCGUAACUGACGCUGAGGAGCGAAAGCAUGGGGAGCGAACAGG